GAUGAACGCUAGCUACAGGCUUAACACAUGCAAGUCGCGGGGCAGCAUGGGGGUUGCUUGCAACCCCUGAUGGCGACCGGCGCACGGGUGAGUAACGCGUAUCCAACCUGCCCUUCACCACGGGAUAACCCGGCGAAAGUCGGACUAAUACCGUAUGUUGUCCAUUGACGGCAUCCGAUUUGGACGAAAGGCUUGGCGGUGAAGGGAUGGGGAUGCGUCCGAUUAGCUUGACGGCGGGGUAACGGCCCACCGUGGCUACGAUCGGUAGGGGUUCUGAGAGGAAGGUCCCCCGCACUGGAACUGAGACACGGUCCAGACUCCUACGGGAGGCAGCAGUGAGGAAUAUUGGUCAAUGGGCGUAAGCCUGAACCAGCCAAGUAGCGUGCAGGAUGACGGCCCUAUGGGUUGUAAACUGCUUUUAUGCGGGGAUAAAGUGGCCCACGUGUGGGCUUUUGCAGGUACCGCAUGAAUAAGGACCGGCUAAUUCCGUG
rnacentral:rRNA from 1 species